CAGGCUAUGCCUUUAAGUUUGGAGUUUCAUUUACACUGAAUUUUAUGUCGUGCAAUUCGACGUGGUCUGA
rnacentral:tRNA from 1 species